UACGGAGGGGGCUAGCGUUGUUCGGAAUUACUGGGCGUAAAGCGCGUGUAGGCGGACUUUGCAAGUCGGGUGUGAAAGCCCUCAGCUCAACUGAGGAAGUGCGCCCGAAACUGCAGAGCUUGAGUGCCGGAGAGGGUGGCGGAAUUCCCCAAGUAGAGGUGAAAUUCGUAGAUAUGGGGAGGAACACCGGUGGCGAAGGCGGCCACCUGGACGGUAACUGGACGGCUGAGACGCGAAAGCGUGGGGAGCAAACAGG
rnacentral:rRNA from 1 species